AAGGAACAGAAAACUCGGAUGAAAAAACUUGUCUACCAAAAGAGUCCAGGACCAAAUGUCUAGAUGUCAUGAAGUUCAGGUACGAAUUGGACUAGUCCUCUGACAUCCUUCCCAACUUUGUGUUUCUGUGUUUGUUUACAAAGCACUUUCCUCCCAAGAACUCUGUGAGAACCUGACAUGUCCACUAAUUCAAAAUGGGUGAGAACCAGAGUGAUGUAGGCAUCAAAG